AGGAGCGUGCGGUUCAAUUGGAUUCAACGCCGGACAACUCACCAGGAGCGACGGUUACAUGAAGGCCAGGCUGAUGACCUUGCCUGAUUUUCCGAGAGGUGGUGCAUGGCCGUCGUCAGUUCGUACCGUAAGGCGUUCUCUUAAGUGAGAUAACGAACGAGACCCUCACCGUUAAUUGCUAGUGUUCUCUCCGGAGGGCACGUACAUUAACGGGACCGCUGUCGCUAAGACAGAGGAAGGAGAGGUCAACGGUAGGUCCGUAUGCCCCGAAUCUCCUGGGCUACACGCGCGCUACAAAGGUUGGGACAAUGGGCUCCGACAUCGAAAGGUGAAGGCAAUCUCGAAACCCAAUCGUAGUUCGGAUUGAGGGUUGUAACUCACCCUCAUGAAGCUGGAUUCCGUAGUAAUCGCUUGUCAACAUCAAGCGGUGAAUAUGCCCCUGCUCCUU
rnacentral:rRNA from 1 species